AGAGUUUGAUCAUGGCUCAGAUUGAACGCUGGCGGCAGGCCUAACACAUGCAAGUCGAGCGCGAAAGGCUUUCGGGCUGAGUAGAGCGGCGGACGGGUGAGUAACGCGUAGGAAUCUACCUGGUAGUGGGGGACAACUUGGGGAAACUCAAGCUAAUACCGCAUACGCCCUAAGGGGGAAAGCGGGGGACCUUCGGGCCUCGCGCUAUCGGAUGAGCCUGCGUAGGAUUAGCUAGUUGGUAGGGUAAAGGCCUACCAAGGCGACGAUCCUUAACUGGUCUGAGAGGAUGAUCAGUCACACUGGAACUGAGACACGGUCCAGACUCCUACGGGAGGCAGCAGUGGGGAAUAUUGGACAAUGGGCGCAAGCCUGAUCCAGCCAUGCCGCGUGUGUGAAGAAGGCCUUCGGGUUGUAAAGCACUUUCACUUGGGAAGAAAAGCUGACCGUUAAUAGCGGUUAGCCGUGACAUUACCUUGAGAAGAAGCACCGGCUAACUCCGUGCCAGCAGCCGCGGUAAUACGGAGGGUGCGAGCGUUAAUCGGAAUUACUGGGCGUAAAGCGCGCGUAGGCGGUUCGUUAAGUCAGCUGUGAAAGCCCCGGGCUCAACCUGGGAACUGCAGUUGAUACUGGCCGACUAGAGUACGAGAGAGGGAGAUAGAAUUCCAUGUGUAGCGGUGAAAUGCGUAGAUAUAUGGAGGAAUACCGGUGGCGAAGGCGGCCUCCUGGCUCGAUACUGACGCUGAGGUGCGAAAGCGUGGGGAUCAAACAGGAUUAGAUACCCUGGUAGUCCACGCCGUAAACGAUGUCUACUAGCCGUUGGGAGACUUGAUUUCUUAGUGGCGCAGCUAACGCAAUAAGUAGACCGCCUGGGGAGUACGGCCGCAAGGUUAAAACUCAAAUGAUUGACGGGGGCCCGCACAAGCGGUGGAGCAUGUGGUUUAAUUCGAUGCAACGCGAAGAACCUUACCAGGUCUUGACAUCCAGAGAACUUUCCAGAGAUGGAUUGGUGCCUUCGGGAGCUCUGAGACAGGUGCUGCAUGGCUGUCGUCAGCUCGUGUCGUGAGAUGUUGGGUUGAGUCCCGUAACGAGCGCAACCCUUGUCCUUAGUUGCCAGCGAGUAAUGUCGGGAACUCUAAGGAGACUGCCGGUGACAAACCGGAGGAAGGUGGGGACGACGUCAAGUCAUCAUGGCCCUUACGACCUGGGCUACACACGUGCUACAAUGGAACGCACGGAGGGCAGCAAAAGCGCGAGCUGGAGCGAAUCCCACAAAACGUUUCGUAGUCCGGAUCGGAGUCUGCAACUCGACUCCGUGAAGUCGGAAUCGCUAGUAAUCGCGGAUCAGAAUGCCGCGGUGAAUACGUUCCCGGGCCUUGUACACACCGCCCGUCACACCAUGGGAGUGGGUUGCUCCAGAAGUGGUUAGCCUAACCUUCGGGGGGGCGAUCACCACGGAGUGAUUCAUGACUGGGGUGAAGUCGAAACAAGGUA
rnacentral:rRNA from 1 species